CGUUCCCGGACCUUGUACACACCGCCCGUCAAGCGAUGGAAGUUGGGAGGACCUGAAGACAGUUGUUGCAAGACGCUGUUUAGGGUUAAACCGAUGACUGGCGGCU
rnacentral:rRNA from 1 species